rnacentral:rRNA from 1 species
UACGUAGGUGGCAAGCGUUGUCCGGAAUUUAUUGGGCGUAAAGCGCGCGCAGGCGGUCCUUUAAGUCUGAUGUGAAAGCCCACGGCUCAACCGUGGAGGGUCAUUGGAAACUGGGGGACUUGAGUACAGAAGAGAAGAGUGGAAUUCCACGUGUAGCGGUGAAAUGCGUAGAGAUGUGGAGGAACACCAGUGGCGAAGGCGACUCUUUGGUCUGUAACUGACGCUGAGGCGCGAAAAGCGUGGGGGAGCAAACAGG